rnacentral:rRNA from 1 species
GGGGAAGGGUAGCUUGCUACCUGACCUAGCGGCGGACGGGUGAGUAAUGCUUAGGAAUCUGCCUAUUAGUGGGGGACAACAUUCCGAAAGGAAUGCUAAUACCGCAUACGCCCUACGGGGGAAAGCAGGGGGAUCUUCGGACCUUGCGCUAAUAGAUGAGCCCUAAGUCAGAUUAGCCUAGUUGGUGGGGUAAAGGCCUACCAAGGCGACGAUCUUGUAGCCGGGUCUGAGAGGAUGAUCCCCCACACUUGGGACUGAGACCCCGGCCCAAAACUUCCUACCGGGAGGCAAGCAGGGGGGGGAAAAUUGGACAAUGGGGCGAAAGCCCUGAUCCAACCCUUGCCCCGUGGGGGAAACAAAGCCUUUUGGGUUGUAAAAGCACCUUUAAGCCAAGGAGGAGGCCCCUGAAAAAAAAACCCUUUGGGAAAGGGGGCCCUUCCCCCCAAAAAAAACACCCCGUUUAAUUUUUGGGCCCAACCCCCGGGUAAAAACAAAGGGGC